rfam:Aedes aegypti strain Liverpool supercont1.26 genomic scaffold, whole genome shotgun sequence.
GUAGCUGUAGUAUAAUUAGUAAUGCGUCCGUGUACAGAGUGAAAAUUGUGGGUUCAAGUCCCGCCGGAUACA